rnacentral:rRNA from 1 species
AUGGCGACCGGCGCACGGGUGAGUAACACGUAUCCAACCUGCCGAUGACUCGGGGAUAGCCUUUCGAAAGAAAGAUUAAUACCCGAUGGUAUAAUCAGACCGCAUGGUCUUGUUAUUAAAGAAUUUCGGUUAUCGAUGGGGAUGCGUUCCAUUAGGCAGUUGGUGAGGUAACGGCUCACCAAACCUUCGAUGGAUAGGGGUUCUGAGAGGAAGGUCCCCCACAUUGGAACUGAGACACGGUCCAA